UACCGCAUAUGUUAUUUAUUUGCAAUGAUAAAUAAUGAAAGGAGCAUUUGCUUCGCUAAUUGAUGAGGAUGCGGCGCAUUAACUAGUUGGUAAGGUAAUGGCUUACCAAGGUAACGAUKCGUAGCCGAUCUGAGAGGAUGAACGGCCACAUUGGGACUGAGACACGGCCCAAACUUCUACGGAAGGCAGCAGUAGGGAAUUUUUCACAAUGGGCGAAAGCCUGAUGGAGCAAUGCCGCGUGACUGAUGAAGGUCUUCGGAUUGUAAAGGUCUGUUGUAAGGGAAGAAGUGCUAGAAUAGGAAAUGAUUUUAGUAUCGACCAUACCUUACCAGAAAGCCACGGCUAACUAUGUGCCAGCAGCCGCGGUAAUACAUAGGUGGC
rnacentral:rRNA from 1 species